rnacentral:rRNA from 1 species
UUCGGGCGCCGGCGAGUGGCGAACGGGUGAGUAACACGUGGAGACCUAUCCAUUGGUGGGGGACAACAGCUGGAAACGGCUGCUAAUACCGCAUAAUCCCUACGGGGGAAAGAUUUAUCGCCAUAGGAGGGUUCCGCGUCGGAUUAGCUAGUUGGUGGGGUAACGGCCUACCAAGGCGACGAUCCGUAGCUGGUCUUAGAGGAUGAUCAGCCACACUGGGACUGAGACACGGCCCAGACUCCUACGGGAGGCAGCAGUGGGGAAUAUUGCGCAAUGGAGGAAACUCUGACGCAGCGAUGCCGCGUGGGUGAAGAAGGCCUUAGGGUUGUAAAGCCCUUUCAGUGGGAACGAUGGUGACGGUACCCACAGAAGAAGCCCCGGCUAACUCCGUGCCUGCAGCCGCGGUAAUACGGAGGGGGCGAGCGUUGUUCGGAAUUAUUGGGCGUAAAGCGCGCGUAGGCGGUUUAUUAAG